CAGUCGCCGCGGUAAUACGAAGGGGGCUAGCGUUGUUCGGAUUUACUGGGCGUAAAGCGCACGUAGGCGGACUUUUAAGUCAGGGGUGAAAUCCCGGGGCUCAACCCCGGAACUGCCUUUGAUACUGGAAGUCUUGAGUAUGGUAGAGGUGAGUGGAAUUCCGAGUGUAGAGGUGAAAUUCGUAGAUAUUCGGAGGAACACCAGUGGCGAAGGCGACUGACUGGACAAGUAUUGACGCUGAGGUGCGAAAGCGUGGGGAGCAAACAGGAUUAGAUACCCCCGUAGUCCCUGUCUCUUAUAC
rnacentral:rRNA from 1 species